rnacentral:rRNA from 1 species
UAAGGAAUAUUGGUCAAUGGACGCAAGUCUGAACCAGCCAUGCCGCGUGAAGGAUGAAGGUCCUCUGGAUUGUAAACUUCUUUUAUCUGGGACGAAAACGGGAUUUUUAUCUCAAUUGACGGUACCAGAGGAAUAAGCACCGGCUAACUCCGUGCCAGCAGCCGCGGUAAUACGGAGGGUGCGAGCGUUAUCCGGAUUUACUGGGUUUAAAGGGUGCGUAGGUGGGCUUAUAAGUCAGUGGUGAAAUCUCCGAGCUUAACUUGGAAACUGCCGUUGAUACUAUAGGUCUUGAAUUAUCUGGAGGUAAGCGGAAUAUGUCAUGUAGCGGUGAAAUGAUUAGAUAUGACAUAGAACACCAAUUGCGAAGGCAGCUUACUACAUAUAAAUUGACGCUGAGGCACGAAAGCGUGGGGAUCAAACA